rnacentral:lncRNA from 1 species
GUUGUGCUGUUUGAUAAGUGACAAGUUUCACAUUGCACAGGUGGCCAAUUUCACCAGUUCCUUGAGCCCUAUCAGUAUCAUUUAUCAGAAACAGCAGAGAAUGCUGCAUGCACUGCGCUAGAGACAUUAAUUCCAGUCGUGUCUACAUUCCUCACUGGCUAAAGGACUUCAAGAUUGGUUUGUACUUUCGGCUUACCAUUGAUAACUUAAGAUAUCAUCCCAUGUGACACAGUCUUACUGCAUCUGUAUCUUAGGUACUUUUCCAAUGUCUUUGCAUUUUACCCAAGCUCUGAGUGAAGCAUGAAUGGCCCUGCCUUCCAUUAUGGGAUUUCCAGGCAUCAGUGUCUUCAGUGGCAAUGAAGAACAGCUGGCCACCGUUCUCUGUGAUAAUAACCUUCGUACAGUCAAAACUGGAGUGGUUUUGGACAUGGUACUUAUAAGAACAUCUCCUUGCAAAUGAUUGUGCCCCCUCCUCACCUCUCCAACCCCUAAGCAGCUUCAAGCUCCUCCUCCUCCCUUGGACCAUAUGGGGAAGCUGGCUCAGUGGCUGUUAUUCUACUGCUCCAAGUUCACGCAGCUGUUCAUUCCCUGCUUAAUGUACCGGUAAUUACAGCAAUGUGCUCUUCUCUUUUCCAAUCAUGUAACUUUUUCUAAUGGAAAAUUAUUUGUUUUUAACAACGUCCACGCAUUCUAUUCUUUAAUAAGAAAGGAGGUCUUCUGGAAUCAAGAGAUUAAAUUCUCUACAAAAAACAAAAGUUUCUGUAUCACUUUCCAGCUCCAUAGGAGGGCUCAGUGGGACAAGCUGAAAUUGAGGCGGGGGCACUUAAGUGAGUGUAACUAACUUGAUAUGAAUAGGCCGGUUGGGAAACAAAGCAAACUCAUAGCCUUCUGCACAUGGAGGUGAUGAAAGAAUAUUUUUUUUAAAAUGAGAAACUGGGAAAAAUCAAAAGUAGAAAUUGAGCUCUGCUUUCAUGAUCCAAAUUCAAUAUGCUCUCAAAAGAUUUUUAAAACAAAUAUUUGAAGAGUUUUUCCACUUAUCUUGGUUCUAUCUUUCAGAGCUUGCAAAUUUU